rnacentral:rRNA from 1 species
ACUCCUACGGGAGGCAGCAGUGGGGAAUAUUGCACAAUGGACGAAAGUCUGAUGCAGCGACGCCGCGUGCGGGAUGGAGGCCUUCGGGUUGUGAACCGCUUUUGUUGGGGAACAAGCGAGAGUGAGUGUACCCUUCGAAUAAGGACCGGCUAACUACGUGCCAGCAGCCGCGGUAAUACGUAGGGUCCAAGCGCUGUCCGGAAUUAUUGGGCGUAAAGGGCUCGUAGGCGGCUUGUCGCGUCUGGUGUGAAAGCACGGGGCUUAGCCUCGUGUCUGCGCUGGAUACGGGCAGGCUUGAGUGCCACAAGGGGGAAUGGAAUUCCCGGUGUAACGGUGGAAUGUGUAGAUAUCGGGAAGAACACCGAUGGCGAAAGCAGUUCCCUGGGUGGUUACUGACGCUGAGGAGCGAAAGCGUAGGGAGCAAACAGGAUUAGAUACCCUGGUAGUC